UACGUAGGGUGCGAGCGUUAAUCGGAAUUACUGGGCGUAAAGCGUGCGCAGGCGGUUUGCUAAGACAGGUGUGAAAUCCCCGGGCUUAACCUGGGAACUGCGCUUGUUACUGGCAGGCUUGAGUGUGGCAGAGGGGGGUGGAAUUCCACGUGUAGCAGUGAAAUGCGUAGAGAUGUGGAGGAACACCAGUGGCGAAGGCGGCCCGCUGGGCAGUGGCUGACGCUGAGGCGCGACAGCGUGGGGAGCAAACAGG
rnacentral:rRNA from 1 species